rnacentral:rRNA from 1 species
GACGAACGCUGGCGGCGUGCCUAAUACAUGCAAGUAGAACGCUGAAGGAGGAGCUUGCUUCUCUGGAUGAGUUGCGAACGGGUGAGUAACGCGUAGGUAACCUGCCUGGUAGCGGGGGAUAACUAUUGGAAACGAUAGCUAAUACCGCAUAAGAGUAGAUGUUGCAUGACAUUUGCUUAAAAGGUGCAAUUGCAUCACUACCAGAUGGACCUGCGUUGUAUUAGCUAGUUGGUGAGGUAACGGCUCACCAAGGCGACGAUACAUAGCCGACCUGAGAGGGUGAUCGGCCACACUGGGACUGAGACACGGCCCAGACUCCUACGGGAGGCAGCAGUAGGGAAUCUUCGGCAAUGGACGGAAGUCUGACCGAGCAACGCCGCGGGAGUGAAGAAGGUUGUCGGAUCGUAAAGCUCUGUUGUAAGAGAAGAACGAGUGUGAGAGUGGAAAGUUCACACUGUGACGGUAGCUUACCAGAAAGGGACGGCUAACUACGUG